UGGGGAAUAUUGCACAAUGGGCGCAAGCCUGAUGCAGCCAUGCCGCGUGUAUGAAGAAGGCCUUCGGGUUGUAAAGUACUUUCAGCGGGGAGGAAGGCGAUAAGGUUAAUAACCUUGUCGAUGACGUUGACCCGCAGAACGAAGCACCGGCUGAACUCCGUGCCAGGCAGCCGCGGUUAAUACAGGAGGGUACAAGCGUUAAUCGGAAUUACUGGGCGUAAAGCGCACGCAGGCGGUCUGUCAAGUCGGAUGUGAAAUCCCCGGGCUCAACCUGGGAACUGCAUUCGAAACUGGCAGGCUGGAGUCUUGUAGAGGGGGUA
rnacentral:rRNA from 1 species